rnacentral:rRNA from 1 species
UUGCGAAUCCGGAGCUGGGCCCCAUGGACUACUGCGUAUCCAAACGUUGUGCGGAAUCAUUUGGAUUAACGGCUCCUUAGGCUGACUGAUAAGGCAUUGGUGAAACGACAUCGCUUAACGAUGGAACGGUCAUUGUUACUGUCGGGCUUGAGUUUUUGUUACGGAACUAUAAUAUGUAGUGGAGCGGUGAAAUUCUUAGACAUUACAAUGUAAACCAAUUGCGAAUGCAGGUUACUAACAAACAAUUGACGCUGAUGGACGAAAGCGUGGGGAGCGAACAGGAUUAGAUACCCGAGUAGUC